CACCCACCUAACACACAUCCAGCUCACCAAAGGAUUUGCCAGUUAUUAGAACACUAAUGAUCAAGUAACUAAGAUUAAAUUUAUAGGAAGAAGCACAUGGGUCUUAAAGGCUGGGUCCUAUGAGUCUGACCUUAUUUGGAAUUUGGAGGCAGCGUUUCAAGCAUAUUGUGCUGCAAUUAUCAGUUUGGAACCUGGCUUUGUUCCCAGCAUGGAGAGACUGACAAGCAGCCCGAGGAACAGGUCUGCCCUGGCCCGUCCUACAAAAUGCACAAAGGC
rnacentral:lncRNA from 1 species